CACGCUGUAAACGAUGAGUGCUAGAUGUUGGGGGUCACACCUCGGUAUCGCCGUUAACACAUUAAGCACUCCGCCUGGGGAGUACGUGCGCAAGCAUGAAACUCAAAGGAAUUGACGGGGGCCCGCACAAGCGGUGGAGCAUGUGGUUUAAUUCGAAGCAACGCGAAGAACCUUACCAGGUCUUGACAUCACCUAGCAAGCCAUGGAAACAUGGCCCUCCUUCGGGACUGGGUGACAGGUGG
rnacentral:rRNA from 1 species